GUCUUUACCCCCUGAUUCUCAGAUGCAUACUAAUGAUAACAGGCUGCCUUUGCUGAGUAUAGUGGGGACGAGUGAGUGAACGAGCAGCAAGCAGUAGUAAUUCACCGCCUGACGCGUCCUUGUAAAUAGGUUGACAGGUAGAUCAGGGAAGGUCACUUUAAGCUGUGUGGUUUCUACAACAGGUAACUUUCAUGGAAUUGUGAAUCUCUUUUUAUCAAGAAAGUAAAAUUGAAAGAGAUAACAAAAAGUUUGCAGCUUUCAAA